UCACAAAGAAAAAAAAAGUUAUAAACUUAGAUGUAAUUUCUUCUGGUUUUUGAAAUAUCACUAGUUGAUCUAUUAACACUUGCUUUGAUUUUGGCUUUAUAUGUAACCAGAUGAGCCUUCUAAAGAACUGCCGAAGUUUUCUGUCAAACUUUUUCUUCAUUCCAGCGGGCAUGUUGCAGCGAAAUUCCAAUAUGACCAGGAUUCACAUGCUAACUUCAUCAAGAGUAUUAUAUUUCUAUUGAAAAAUUUGAAUUUUCCACAAUUAGGGGCUAUGUCUUUGGACUUGAACAAGUUCCUGCAUACUCAUGCUUUAUAGGCUAUGUUUCAUGGCAGGUAAUAAUUUCUGCUUUUCGGAGAAUCCCUAGAUCUUCUUGGAAUGCAAAAGAAAGGUAUCUCUGUCUCUCCUCCAGCAAUAAGUGCGUGUGUUCAUCCUAGCACGGUUUUCUGGAUUGGCUGUUUUGAGGGCUUAGUUAUUUGAAAAUUUUUGAGUCUGUAGGUUAUGGAUGUUCCUGCUUUCUUCCUUGUCAGAAGCAGAGAAGGUUCUAGGAAAAAUAUCUAAUUAUAAAGUUUAGUUGGAAGUGGUAAAAGCCAAAAGUAAGUCUUCCAAAUCAAAAGAUGAGUCUGAAUCUCUUAAAUUUACUCAAAAGAAUCUGAUUAGCAAGGUUUGCAUGGAAGAAGCCCUGAACAUAAUCUUGACUUGUACAAUUUGUUUGGAAGUUUUUCUUAUUACCUAGAACUAUGAUAGGUCUAUAGUUUUUACUGCAACAUUUUCUUAGGCCUUGGCCAAUAUUGGAGUAGUUUAAAUCAUUUUGACUGGUAUAUGAUCAAAACUGAAUCAUGAUAUAUUCGAUUCCAGAUAUAUACUAAUUCUGCAGAUGCCAAGAUUCCCGUUGUUCUUGAAUAUCUCAGAACUGUCAUUGAGGUAUUGCUCCCCUCCACUGCUUCAAAGCAAUAAAAUGUCAAUAAAGAAUUAGUGACUGCCGCUGUAUGUACUAUAAGAAAGUCAAGUUAGGGUCUCAACUUCUCUAGUUUCUCACCCAUCUCCUUUGAUUGGUGUGCUUGAAUGAUGCAUGGUUUUCUGUCAUCCAAUAGUUUAAAAUAUGUUCAAUGUUGGUUAAAUUGGUCUUUUCUUAUUGCUUUUAUUGCAGUCGGUGCCCCUUAAUGUAGGACCAUAAGUUGAAUGAAUUAAAUUGGCCGAACAGUGUAGUGAAAAUGUCAGCAUAUGACAUUUUAAUACGUAUGCCACAAUUAUUAUUGGUGUCAACGUUGGCUGGUCUGAGUGGUGACCAAAACAAACACGAACUGUAAACUAGACUAUAUUAAUUCUUACAUUGUGUAUGCUUAAUUUGAAAGUUUGAUUGCUUCAAUUUUUUUUGUCUCUUGCUUCCAUCUUUCUAUUUCAUAUGGGCUAGUGGUGGUUAUCACGUGUAAUAUGUUGUGAUCACUGCAGGCAGGUUGCAAGUUUCUUAUAUUUGCGCACCAUCAGCCAAUGAUAGAUGCGAUACAUGAGUGCCUUCUUAAGAAAAAAGGGGGUUGCAUCCGAAUUGAUGGAGGUACACCCGGUGCAUGAAGGCAACAAUUGGUUAGAUUUUUAGGAAAAGGAUUAUAUCAAAGCGGCUGUGGUAUGGUGCUAUCCAUUAAAGCUGGGGGAGUUGGAUUAACUUUAACUGCUGCAAGCUUUGCAGAACAAUCCUGGACUCCAGGUGACCUGAUUCAGGUCAAAGAUCGUGCUCAUAGAAUUGGCCUGGUCUCAUCAGUAAAUAUAUACUAAUUGUUGGCAAAUGAUACUGUUCACGACAUCAUAUGGUAGGUUUUGGUAUAGCAUUGCCUUAACAUUUAUUAUGCAUUGAUGAUAUAAAUUUUUACAUCAUACGGAUGUGGUGCAAUUCAAACUGGAUAAUGUGGGGCAGGUACAUUUCUACAUCUUCUUGAACUAUCACAUGUAAUGCAAAAUGUACAUAAUGCUUAGCUUCAAGGUUUCCAUUCUGGUUUAUAUUCAUAUUUUGUCAAGAUUUAUACUCAAGUAGUAUUUGAGAGUUACUUUUUGAUGUUUUUGAGAAACCAUUCUGAAUUUUAGUUAUUGAAAAAUCAGAUGUUAGAUGGCCAUGAGAACACCUUAGUUGUGCCAAAUAAUCAGCCAUUGAGUAGCCCUGCAAAGCAUACUACUAUUGAGCAUAGCCCUUUAAGGCAGAGAACUCUUGACCAGUUUAUCAGAAGAUGUGAUAACGUGGAUAGGUCAGAAGUCGGAACAUCAGCCUGAACCGAAACGGCCCUGUCAGUCAUGACUCACAAGAUAUGCAAAAUGGAUUUCCAUUUUCGCAGAUACGUGGCCAGGGGCAAGUGAAUCGGAACUUAAAUGUUUAUGUCUACAUGCAGAACCAGAUGUGCUUACAUGGGGAAUUCACCUUUGACUACUCAAAUGCCUUUUGAAGCUGAAAUCCGUUGUACAACAAAUAAUAGAUUUUGAAUAGAACUGACUACACUAAACUAUGUUGCUUGUGCUGGAGAUAAUGGUUUGGUUAUGUGAAAUAUGUGUUGGAAGAAAAUGUUGAUAAAGUCACCCAUCAUAUUUUAGGUUUCCACUUAUUGUUCUUAACUUUUUGCUUCCCUAUCGUUUGUUUUAGUUUGGGGCUCUGUACAGAGUAGUACAUUAUCAUAUAUGAAUGAGACUUGUAAAUUUCUUUA